GUGGGGAAUCUUGCGCAAUGGGCGAAAGCCUGACGCAGCCAUGCCGCGUGAAUGAUGAAGGUCUUAGGAUUGUAAAAUUCUUUCACCGGGGACGAUAAUGACGGUACCCGGAGAAGAAGCUCCGGCUAACUUCGUGCCAGCAGCCGCGGUAAUACGAAGGGGGCUAGCGUUGCUCGGAAUUACUGGGUGUAAAGGGCGCGUAGGCGGACAGCUUAGUCAGAGGUGAAAGCCCAGGGCUCAACCUUGGAAUUGCCUUUGAUACUGGCUGUCUUGAGUUUGGGAGAGGUGAGUGGAACGCCGAGUGUAGAGGUGAAAUUCGUAGAUAUUCGGAAGAACACCAGUGGCGAAGGCGACUCACUGGCCCAAUACUGACGCUGAGGCGCGAAAGCGUGGGGAGCAAACAGGAUUAGAUACCCCGGUAGUCC
rnacentral:rRNA from 1 species